CCUACGGGUGGCAGCAGUAGGGCAUUUUGCGCAAUGGGCGAAAGCCUGACGCAGCAACGCCGCGUGAACGAGACGGCCUUCGGGGUGUAAAGUUCUGUUAGUGGGGACGAAAGAUGACGGUACCCAAAGAGGACGCACCGUCUAACUCCGUGCCAGCAGCCGCGGUAAUAAGGAGGGUGCAAGCGUUGUCCGGAAUCAUUGGGCGUAAAGAGUUCGUGGGCGGUAUGUUAAGUCUGGUGUUAAAUGGAUAAGCUCAACUUCUGUUCGGCACUGGAUACUGGCAAACUAGAAUGCGGUAGAGGUAAAGGGAAUUCCGUGUGUAGCGGUGAAAUGCUUAGAUAGCAGGAGGAACAUCGGUGGCGAAAGCGCUUUACUGGGCCGUAAUUGACGCUGAGGAACGAAAGCCAGGGUAGCAAAUGGGAUUAGAUACCCUUGUAGUC
rnacentral:rRNA from 1 species